UUGAGGAUGGGAGAUUUGGGCUGCGUCUUAAAUUGUGCCAGUGUCAUUUGCUACUGAGGCAAAUUCUCUCGGGACUUACUCCAACCUCGUACCAUCGGAGUCCCAUUUCAAUCCGCGCUGGUAUCUGUCUAAUGUAGUAGGAACUGAACGGGACAGAUUUCAAAUCGCUUUUAACUACGGUAGAACCUACCAUAUCCGAUCUCAUAAGAUACCCUCUAGAGAUGGAAAUUGAUCAAUGCAUAUUUUAUUAUAGGUCUAAAACAUUCAGCUCUUGUAGGACAGAAUGGAUUCAGCUGCAGAUACAAUAAAAAAGGGCGCGUUUGGGAAUUCAGUUUCACUUUUACGUGCUGUCCCUUCACGGAAAACAUGUUCAAUAAACGAAAACAAGAAAACAAAGCAAGGGAUUAAUACCGUACCAUUAAAAAGCUAAAACAAGAUUUUUUUGUGUGCGCUGUUUUUUGUUUUUUUUAAAACGCCAUUUCUGUCUCGGUUAACAAGCACAUACUGGGAAAAAAAACUUGUCGGAUUACUUUGGCAUGGACUGACAAAGCAUGUCGAUGCCGCCUAAUCGGGAUACUGAUCAGGAUGUCUGCUUAAAUGGGAUACAGCUCUGGGAGACGGUUCUUCCCAAUGCUAUUUAUGUCGUUUAACUGGGACGUCACUUUGUUUUAAUUGGGAUACAGUAAUUUCAAAUGAUGAACAGAGAUCGCUUUUCAGACCAAGACAGUUUCGCGUAGCACAGUGCAGUGAGUAUGUGAGUACCCUGUGACUUAGGUACGUGAUUACCUGUGUCUUAGGUAAAUUGCGUAAACCACAUUGAACUCUUGAAGGAGUCGAGUCUCCUGUGGUUUCUCAGGCUGCUGUGGCAAAUAAAGUUGGCGUGUCAACAUCACAGGUGCCUCGCCUUUUGUGUGGAGAAUUGCCUGGAGACAGACCUGCUACAUAAUGAGGUCCCUGUGACAGGGACUACCCUGAGUGAGCGAGUUUAAUAAUUACUACUGAGCCCUCUGAAGAAUAGGACUGUCACAUCAUGGACUUCACUCUGCUUCAUUGUGAUCUGCAUGCUGCUUAAUAACGUCACUGUGCCGCCACUACAGGAAGGUCAACUCAGAGACCAGGAAUGACUGGACAGCAACACUAAAACUUAAAAAGAAACAUACAAGCCCAGAGGCCUAGAUGGCCACGCCAUACCUUAAGGUCUCCAUUAAUGGAUCAUCCCUUGACACCACUGUUCAAGCUAGGAAGAAAAAAAUUCAUAUGUAUUUAAAGCAGGUACCUGGGGUUUUGGGCUGACUCGCUGUUGGACAGUGACCAGCGGGACAGCAUUCGGGACGGGAAGAACUACAAGCCGGGACACAAGGAAUACAAGGUUAUAUCUUUCUGUGCUACGACCUCUGUUCUCACGGUUGAAGUACUGGGAUCCUCCCUGCCUAUUUGCACAAUUGAACUUGUUUUUAGAUAGUGUUAACCUAAUCCAAUUGUUUUAGUAAGAAUUGUUAUUUUAGAUAUAUUUAUAGUUUUAGUUGGGAUUGUAUUUUAUUGUUUUAAUUGGACGUUCAUCUGGGGGGGUUGGGGUUGGUGUCACAGAAUCCCAAAAGAACCUGUAAAGAGAGUGGAAAACGGGAGGGUUAACGUUUGUACACCUAGUUAAGUGUUUGGUUUAUUGUCACCUGGUCCGUUCUCUACUAGUGUUAUGCGUUAAAGCACGUGACAUUCAUAAAAGGAAAGUAAUUCCCUGAAUGCAGCUGUUUAAUACAGUGUGUUUUUUUUUAUUAUUUCCAUAGGUUGCAUUUGUAAUACAGUAUAAGCUUCAUUUUAUUCCUACAGAUGGCUUCCGCAGGAGAUACUGGGAGUUUCUCAACACUUCCCUGUGCUGAGUGCUCCGUGAUGCCCUCUGGAUAAGUCUACAGUUCAGUGUGUUUGCUUUGCAGCACGAGGAUUUGCCCUUGGCUGCUCUCAGCCUUGUCUUCCUGCCAGUGAGUGCCAGGUAGCCUGAAGCGUGCAACAAUUUGCAGAUUAGAUCUGUUGAACACAGGCUGCCAAGUGGGAUGAAUGGGAUCACUGAGCGCAUUUCAUUCACUCGCUUCUACUCCAGCUAACUGUUGAUUUACUGUUGAUGUGGUUGUUUCUGUGGUCAUUAUUUACUGAUUGUUAAACCUUACUUUAUGGUAGCUAUACCUUAGCUGAUAUGAAAAACUGUCGGGCAAAUGGUAUAUUGGCAAAUGUAACAUAAAAACAUUUGAAUCACCAGUUCAAUUUAACAGCCAAUAUUUGUGACUGAAAUUCUUUACAGUCUGAGUCACAGAUUUAUUUUUGUGUUUUGAUUAUAGUCUGCCUGAAUAAAUUAUGAAUUUGUUUAAUGUGCAUUUACUAAAACAAUGUGACUGAACGGCACAAAGCAUGCAUAUUAUUGGAAGUUGAAAGUAUCCUUGAGUCAGUGUAUAAAAGUGAGUUUAAUUUAAUUUUAAAUGUAUUUAAAGACUUAUUUGUAAAUCCUUUUAAAACAAGGCAUAGUACCCCAUAAUGAAUUAAAAGCACAGGGAUCAAUUGUAAUGCAGAUAAUGUCAGUAUUGUGAGACAAUGCCCAUCCACAGGCAAUUCGCUGAAACUAUAGUAAACCAAGUGAUGCAAAACUUUUGGCCAUAGCUGUACUAUGCAUUUACCAUAGUUUGCCAUGUUUUUUUUAAAUGUGCUUUUCCAUACCUCCCUAGGCUUUGCAAUGCUGACCUAUGCUUAUGCUUAUGCUUUCACUAUGUUAUAUGUAAGUCG